CGCAGUAGAGAAAAAGCUAAUUGUGUCAUUGUCAUUUCUCUGGUUGUGUUAGCAACUCACAAACUUGGUGAUUGUUCGUGGAUUUCUUGACUAGAUUGCAAACAAUAGCUCGGUGUGUUGCCACCUCCAUAUUGUUAGUUUCUGCUUUGCUAUGGCAAAACGCUCUUCUCUAGUGUUCUUCCCUCGUAAUCACACCAUUGAAGUUUUUGCACAUCACUGUCCUAAUCGGGUCUCACCAAUAUAAAUCCCCGUGAAUGGAGAGGGGGAACGCCUAUAGAGACGCAGGUUGUGCGAAGAGGAAGAAACGGUCUAGUUCAUAGUUGGUUCAAGGAUUCAAUAUCUUCGUACAAUGUACAUUGGUGCAAGUUUUAGUAUUUUGAGUUAGGAGAUAAUUUCUUGUUUAGAACGAGAUACUUGCUCUUCGUUAAUAAUAGAUUAAGGUAAGCAUUCUAAUCCUUGAUUAUACUUUAUGUUUAUACAAUAAAGUUUGUUUCUCAAA